GACGAACGCUGGCGGCGUGCUUAACACAUGCAAGUCGAACGGAAAGGCCUGCUUUCCCUUGUGGAUUGCGGGUGCUCGAGUGGCGAACGGGUGAGUAACACGUGAGUGAUCUGUCCCCAACUUGGGUAUAAGCCUGGGAAACUGGGUCUAAUUCCCGAUAGGACUGCAGGGUGGUGCCUGUGGUGGAAAACGAUUUUCUAGUGGUUGGGGAUGAGCUCGCGGCCUAUCAGCUUGUUGGUGGGGUAAUGGCCUACCAAGGCGGCGACGGGUAGCCGGCCUGAGAGGGUGGACGGCCACAUUGGGACUGAGAUACGGCCCAGACUCCUACGGGAGGCAGCAGUGGGGAAUAUUGCACAAUGGGCGGAAGCCUGAUGCAGCGACGCCGCGUGGGGGAUGACGGCCUUCGGGUUGUAAACUCCUUUCGACCGCGAGGAAGCCACCUGGUUGGAAGGGUGGUGACGGUAGUGGUAGAAGAAGCACCGGCUAACUACGUG
rnacentral:rRNA from 1 species